UACCGAAGGACGAUUCUUCUACCAAAUCCAUCCACAAAUCGCGCCGAUCGCCUGUUCUUCAAAGGAUUUUUCCUCCUGUUGUUCGACUGUCUUCAAAUCCUCGCGACAGAAAGAAAAUGGGUUUGGCUGUCAUGGACGAUUUCUUCUACCAAACAAAAUAGGUUUUCACUUGUUGAGAACUGUCUAAGCCACCCCAGCAUCACCGCAUCCCUCAGCCUCUGAUACUCCACGGCCCUCGUGGCACCGGCAAAACCACCCUCAUCGUCGAACGUCUACUGGGUGAGUGGAAUAAAGGCCCUCAUCUCACUGGCUAUGUAGACUUUGCGGAAUCGAUCAAAGACCACCACCCACAAUUCAACCAGUCGUUUCUACACCUUAAGAAUUGCUGAUGAUAAUCGCUAUAAUGGUGGAAAAGGUGCACAUCUUACUUUGAAACGUGCCGAGAAAGCUCGUGCUUUAUUUAACAAAAUUCCUGGUCGUAUUUGAGCAGCAAUGGUAGAGUUAUUGACUUAAAAAACAAAAGCUUGGGAGGAACAAAGCCGGACUGAGUUCUUAUAUGAUGGUGAAUUGAAUUAGUUCUUGGAACUCGAGUCAAGUCGGCUGAUUUAAGGCGUAAAACAUUAUUAACAGCUGCUGGGGAGACUAUAAGUUGCAAGAUUCUCAUCAUUGCUACAAGUGCUCAGGUGUUAAUGAUCAGGGAGAAACUUGCUGAAGUAUACGAGUCUGAGCAGCAGUGGUCUAAAGCCAGCUCGGAUGCUCAGUGGCAUUGAUCUAGAUUUUGGGAUGAGGUCUGAAAGUGAUUGUGGACAAAAUUGAAAGAAGUGACAUUCCUGAAGUGAUUGUGGACAAAAUUGAAAGAAGUGACAUUCCUGAUAUUGAUAAGAAAUCUGUGAUGGCAACGCCCCUCGUAUUCCCACUUCUUUAAGAGCCACAACCAUCUAACUCCACUCGCUGCCCCUCUCUCUCUCUCUCUUCCUCCUCACAUUUGCUUCUGGUUGACAUCUGAUUGAGUGGUCGAAUCGAAGACUGCCACGCCUACUUGAUGAGAGGUCAGAAGCCAAGAAUUACAACUGGAAAUGCACAGAAUGCUAGAAAACAUUGAAGAAGGAUGUGAUGAAAAUGGAGAAGUUGAUAGCACACAACACUGGUUGUCGCAUGCAGAAGAAGAAGACGUACAACAACAAUUAGGAGCUUGGAAUCGAGAAGAAAUAGAUGGUAUGGAGUAGGAAGGGAAAAAAAACCUAAAUGAAGAAUCAAUAAAUAGACUUGCAGUUUUCGAAUUCAGCAAUUUUAAAUAUAAUAGAAACAUUAUCUUGCUCUUUUGAUCAGGAUUUCGAAUUCAGCAAUUUUAAAUGUAAUAGAAAUAUUAUCUUGCUCUUUUGAUAUGAGAUUUCGAAUUUAGCAAUUUUAAAUGUGAUAGAGAAACAUUGUCAAUCAACAGCAUCUCAUAACCAUUACUUAUGGUGUAUUAGUGAUCAUGUU